AAACGGCUACCACAUCUAAGGAAGGCAGCAGGCGCGUAAAUUACCCAAUCCUGAUUCAGGGAGGUAGUGACAAGAAAUAACAAACUGGGAGACUUUGUCUUUACAGAAUUGCAAUGAGAACAAUUUAAAUGACUUAUCGAUUAACAAUUGGAGGGCAAGUCUGGGGCCAGCAGCCGCGGUAAUUCCAGCUCCAAUAGCGUAUAUUAAAGUUGUUGCAGUUAAAAAGCUCGUAGUUGAAUUUCUGUACAUUCUCAGUUCUGGCUUCGGUCAAGCUGUUGAAUGUGCAUCCGCUUGCAAACUUAAACCGGCCUUCACUGGUCGACUAAGGGAGUAAGCCCUUUACUUUGAAAAAAUUAAAGUGUUUCAGGCAGGCAAUGGCUCGAAUACAUUAGCAUGGAUUAAUGGAAUAGGACUUUUGUCCAUUUGGUUGGUUAUUGGACAUAAGUAAUGAUUAAAAGGGACAGUUGGGGGCAUUAGUAUUUAAUUGUCAAAGGUGAAAUUCUUGGAUUUAUUAAAGACUAACUUAUGCGAAAGCAUUU
rnacentral:rRNA from 1 species